rnacentral:rRNA from 1 species
UACGUAGGGUGCGAGCGUUAAUCGGAAUUACUGGGCGUAAAGCGUGCGCAGGCGGUUUUGUAAGUCAGAUGUGAAAUCCCCGGGCUCAACCUGGGGAACUGCGUUUGAAACUACAAGGCUAGAGUGUAGCAGAGGGGGGUAGAAUUCCACGUGUAGCAGUGAAAUGCGUAGAGAUGUGGAGGAAUACCAAUGGCGAAGGCAGCCCCCUGGGUUAACACUGACGCUCAUGCACGAAAGCGUGGGGAGCAAACAGG